UAUGUAUAGUAUAUGUGCAUACCCGCACCAUUUGAAAAGGUACAGUUUUUUCUCAAAGAAAUGAACAAAUUUACUUGUAGGCAUCUGAAAAGUUUCGUUUUAAUCUCAUUUCGAAGAAUAAAAAGCACGGAAGGAAGUGCUUAAACAUACGAAAAUGACUCGUACAAUCCAGGAAUCGAAAAUAAUCGUUAUUUUGAUUUUUACUUGGAUAAAAAAAUCGCUAAUGUGUACUUUGAAUUGUAUCGAUUUUCAACCGUUAUAAUUGAAAGUUUAUAACCGUUACGAUCCCUGGAGAAUAUGCUUUGCUUUUUGCACUUAGUAAGUGUACAGGACAUUUGAAAUUGAUCUUAAUAAAGUAUGUGCUUAAAUUUCAUUCUUUAAAGCUAUUGGAGUUUCUUCAAUUACAAUAUAGUUUCAACAAAACUCUAAACAAGUUGAAUUGACACAUUUUUCAGGCAGCAUCGACAUAACAAGGAAUAAUUUACAAAGAGAGGAAUAUUUUUUAUAUUCUAAAGACCAAAAGCAGCAACAAAAUAAAUGUAGUUUUUGUUCCAGUGCUCUUACCUACUCAAAAUGCCGUUAAAAUUAAAGUUAUCUCAUCCGAGAAAACAACCACUUUACAAAUACUCGCCCUUCUAAAUCAUCGGAGUCUUACUUCGGCGUUACACGAUAAAGAACUUGCUUUCAAGCUUCGAAACAUUCACACUGUUUUACUAAAGUGGCUGUUAGACGUGGCAAGUGCAAGUCCUUUUCAAAAGUGUGUCAAACUCAAGAAUUUCCAAAAGCGAUUGCAGGAGCAGUUACACCUUGUAGGUAAAAUGGAUUUGGCAAGAAGUUUUUAUUUCUGAAAAUCAAACUUUCCGAUAUUACUUUUUGUCUGUUUCCACGGUGACUGCAGACAAUUCCAUUUUUAACUAAGUUAACAGACAUUUUCGUGAUUAUAACAAAAUUGCUGACCUGAAAAUUUGUUAAAAAUGCUAAAAGCGCAAAAAACAGCCGCAAAAUGUUACACCUUGUAAUUUUUAUUUCCGAAAGUGAUUUCUGCAAAUCUUCAAAAAGGUCUUUCUGGCUGUUUACACGGAAUAGUAAACUUUCGAUUUUGCAUUUUAACAGCAAAAUGCGUAGAAAAAGCGGUUGCCUUUUUUACGUUUCACCACAGUUUCACACACUCGCAGUUUUAGAAAUUGGUAUAUCUAAAAAUACAACUGGGCUAGAAAAAAAAUUGUGACUGUAUUGAAACUUGAAAGCGAGUUCUUGAUCGUCUCACGUCGAAGCUACAAAACUUUAGCCGCGUUUAUUUAUGUUGUUAAUAUACAUACAUAUAAGUUGUUUUUUUUUUCUUAAAUUUUCUGAGCCCAAGUACUAAAGCCUUUGAAAGUAUCCCUUAUGAAAGUUUUAAUGCCAUUUCUUUUCUUUAAAUCUGGCGCAGAGGUAAGGAUAGUAAGACUAAGUUGGCGAUCUCACAACAUACAUACAUAUAUUCCAUAAUUUGCUUCUUUUCAUACAAUCAGAGAUUGUUCUUUAAAUGUUACAAGAGUUGAUAACUAUAAUUUUAUUAACACCGCUGGACGUAUAUUGCUCCUGCACUUCUUUCUGUACUUAUUCAAGUGACAAAAAUUUUAAAUCACAAUUUUUCAUUGUUUAUUAAAACGCCGUAUUCUUAAGCAUCGAUCAAUCUUGGUAUACAUAGAGAUCAAAACGAAGCCUACAAGUAAGGAUAUAAGCUCCAUUCUCUGAGGAAAAUUGUACCUACAUACAUAUUUUAGUGAAGCGAGGUGAAUGUACAUACAUAUAUACAUAAAUACAUAUGUAUGUAUGUAUAUACAUUGUAGAAUCUUUAAGAACAGCAAACAAAUUUUUCCACUUACAUUAACUUGCCAUUCUAUCCAAACUGCGUACAAUAACCUACAAGUCUUUUUUUAUAAAUACGCUUGAUUCAUACAGGGCUUACUUGAUACUUUUCCGACUGACUUUAAUUGAUAUUUGAACAUACAUUUGUACGUGCAAUUCUUCUUGACCAUAGCAGUUUUUCGCUUUGAAUCGUUGAAGAAUUACAAUUUUGCAUUUACUGUAGUGUAGAGACCGGUGUGGAUCCGAUCCGCGUGUCUAUAUUCCAGAUUUUUAGUUAGGAUCAUAGAGAACUGGCCCAAUGCAAGUUUGCUUCGAAAUGUACUAAAACGCACAGUGUAUACAAUCAGGUCAGGUAGUCAAAACAAUGCCAAAUUUUUGAUUACAUUGGUUUACAUAGUGCAUAUCAAUGGCUGAGUUAAAGAUCGAUCUACAUAUCUCGGCAGCCUGUUCGAAAACGCACCAUCUCAGAAAACUUUUCAAAACGCCCUAUUUCAGAAUUUUCUUAAAAACCACCCUAUCCCAGAAUUCGGUUGAAGAACUUAUCUCCGAUUCGGUUAAAAAUCGCCCUAUCUAAUAGGGCUGAAAUAGGGCCUUUUUGAAUCGGCAGCUGAGAUAGGGCGCUUUCAGUCAAAUUCUAAAAUAGGGCGUUCUUCAACCAAAUUCCGAAAUAGGGUGUUGUUGCAAAAUUUUCUGAACUGGCUGUCGAAAUAGCUCGAACUUCCACUCAGCCAUAAGUACAUAUCUGUGGACAUUUGACAAAACAGCUUAAGUCUAUCUUUCACGGACAAAAAAGCAUAUGUCGGCAAAGCUCUUUUUACCGUCAAUGCAGUCAUUUUUUUUUUAAUUAAAA